ensembl:lncRNA
AUUACUGUGAAAUGUUCUGCUCUUCAUGUAGUUCUCAGAAACCAGAAUAAAACUGAACCAAAACUGGAGACAUUUUCAUCUGGAGCACAUUGGUCUAUAAUAAUAGGACUUUAACUACUUGACUUUCGUUAUAGAAGACUGUGACCUCCAUCUUGCUGGAAGAUGCUCUCUUACUGGGCUUGAUGAAGCAAGCUAGCUGCCUUGGUGGAAUGGCUCAUGUAACAAGGAACUGAGGGGGUGCUCCAGAGAACAGCCAGCAGAUAAGUGAAGGACUGGAGGCCUGCCUUCAGACGAGACCCCAGCUGUGGCAAAGACACCUUGAUUGGCAGCCACGUCAAAUACUCUGAAGUAGAGGAUCCAGUUGAACAUGCUGGAUUCCUAACCCACAGAAACUGUAUGAUAAUAAAUGUGUGUUCUUCCAAGCUGGAGAGCAAGGGAACUGUGCGGAGGCCAUAAGUGACCAGAAGACAAGAGUCAUCAGGGAACAGUAGCUCUGGAGUUUGGCACUUGUCUUAGGGUAAGUUAUCUUUCUCAUGGCAGACAUCCUGGGUCUGAAUUAGUCAUCAGGAGGAGAUUAAGAGGGGGGCUUCCCUAGUGGCUUGGCAGCAAAGAAUCCACCUGCGGUGCAGGAGACACAGGAGAUGUG